rnacentral:snoRNA from 1 species
ACGCUGUCUCGAAUAGGCGCUGGAGGUCAGUCUUGUUGAAUACCUUGUAGCGUAAGUUAGGACAGCAAGAUCG